ACCUGACAGUCUAAGUGAGCGUAAAAUCAUUGUUAUUGAUAGCCGAUAACAAACAAAUUAGAGGUAAAUGAUUCAGUAUUAUUACCAACAUAAGUAUAUUGCAGUUGUCACACUGUUACUGGAAUACCUCUAUAUUUGAUUUAAAUCAAUUUCCUUUGUGUUAAUUUCGGCAGCAUAAAAGUAUAACAAAAACAACGAACUCCAAGACUAAUUCAAUCAACGAAACAAUCGAAAAACAACUGCUACAUUUCUGACUUGGUACAGGAAUUUCAGAAGAAAUAGAGGAUUAAACCCGGUUAUAAGCUAUCUAACUAAACCUUCCACGUAUUGACGAAAUUGGAUGAAAAAUCUUAACAGACCGAGUCACGUCAGAAGUUAUAACACCAAAAGAAUAUAAAAGCAUAAGGUCAAAUAUUGGGGAAAGAAAAGAUAAUAAAAAGAUGCACAAUGUCAGAACCUAUAAUCUCAAGACCAUCUUGUAUUACUUGUGAAGUAAACACUGACUAAUUAUCUAUUAGAUCUUAGUACUGUCCGAUAGAAUAUUUUGCGAAAACGGACGAGACGUUCUUUGACAACACCAGACUCGUUUAUUGUUUUGCCCAGACACGGAUGACGUUACACAAAGC
rnacentral:lncRNA from 1 species